CCCUACGGGGGGCAGCAGUGGGGAAUAUUGGACAAUGGGGGGAACCCUGAUCCAGCGACGCCGCGUGAGUGAAGAAGUAUUUCGGUAUGUAAAGCUCUAUCAGCAGGGAAGAAAGAAAUGACGGUACCUGACUAAGAAGCCCCGGCUAACUACGUGCCAGCAGCCGCGGUAAUACGUAGGGGGCAAGCGUUAUCCGGAUUUACUGGGUGUAAAGGGAGCGUAGACGGUUAUGUAAGUCUGGAGUGAAAGCCCGGGGCCCAACCCCGGGACUGCUUUGGAAACUGUGUAACUGGAGUACAGGAGGG
rnacentral:rRNA from 1 species